ACGAACGCUGGCGGCGUGCUUAACCCAUGCCAGUCGAACGAAGCUUGCUUACGGAUUCUUCGGAUGAAGUAUGAUAUGACUGAGUGGCGGACGGGUGAGUAACGCGUGAGUAACCUGCCCUUCAGAGGGGGAUAGCGUUUGGAAACGAACGGUAAUACCGCAUAAUGUAUUUUGACCGCAUGAUCGAAAUACCAAAGAUUUAUCGCUGAAGGAUGGACUCGCGUCUGAUUAGGUAGUUGGUGGGGUAACGGCCUACCAAGCCGACGAUCAGUAGCCGGACUGAGAGGUUGAUCGGCCACAUUGGGACUGAGACACGGCCCAGACUCCUACGGGAGGCAGCAGUGGGGAAUAUUGCACAAUGGGCGCAAGCCUGAUGCAGCAACGCCGCGUGAAGGAAGACGGUUUUCGGAUUGUAAACUUCUGUUCUUAGUGAAGAAUAAUGACGGUAGCUAAGGAGCAAGCCACGGCUAACUACGUG
rnacentral:rRNA from 1 species